AUGGAAACCUUGUUCCACACAUUGCCUGGUGCCCUGUCCAGCGCUGCAAGGUGCACUGCGUCUCCUCUGCCCAGCAAGCCACAAGCCCCUCCAGGGUGAGAGGAGAGCCUUCCCUUCCCUUGGUCCUCCCUUCGACACAGGGAGCUGGAGCUGGACAGCCCCAUAGGCACUCAGGGCUUGAAGAAGAUAUCUAGAAAUGUCAAAGCAGAAGAGCCUCGGAGAUAAUCUGAACUAUUUCUGAGUUUAUAUAAGGGAAAACUGAGACUGGAGAGAACUAACAUGUCUAAUAUUACAAUGGAAACUUGUAAUAAAACCACAAAUUG
rnacentral:lncRNA from 10 species